CGAAGGAUGCAAGCGUUAUCCGGAUUUAUUGGGUUUAAAGGGAGCGUAGGCGGUCUUAUAAGUCAGUGGUGAAAUCUCGUUGCUUAACAACGACCGUGCCAUUGAUACUGUAGGACUUGAGUACAGUUGCCGUUGGCGGAAUGUGUCAUGUAGCGGUGAAAUGCGUAGAUAUGACACAGAACACCGAUUGCGAAGGCAGCUGACGAAACUGUAACUGACGCUGAGGCUCGAAAGCGUGGGGAUCAAACAGGAUUAGAUACCCUGGUAGUCCACGCCCUAAACUAUGAUUACUCGCUGUCGGCGAUAUACAGUCGGUAGCUAAGCGAAAGCGUUAAGUAAUCCACCUGGGGAGUACGCCCGCAAGGGUG
rnacentral:rRNA from 1 species